UACAGAGGUCUCAAGCGUUGUUCGGAUUCAUUGGGCGUAAAGGGUGCGUAGGCGGCGAGGUAAGUCGGAUGUGAAAUCUCAGGGCUCAGCCCUGAAACUGCAUUCGAUACUGCCUUGCUCGAGGACUCGAGAGGAGAUUGGAAUUCACGGUGUAGCAGUGAAAUGCGUAGAUAUCGUGAGGAGGACCAGUGGCGAAGGCGACUUACUGGGCUCAUUCUGACGCUGAGGAACGAAAGCGUGGGUAGCAAACAGG
rnacentral:rRNA from 1 species